CGAAAUAGCUCAGUUGGUAGAGCAACUGAUUCGUAAUCAGUAGGUCGCGUGUUCAAAUCACGUUUUCGGC
rnacentral:tRNA from 1 species